rnacentral:rRNA from 1 species
UACGUAGGGUGCGAGCGUUGUCCGGAUUUAUUGGGCGUAAAGAGCUCGUAGGCGGUUUGUCGCGUCGGCCGUGAAAUCUCCACGCUUAACGUGGAGCGUGCGGUCGAUACGGGCAGACUUGAGUUCGGUAGGGGAGCCUGGAAUUCCUGGUGUAGCGGUGAAAUGCGCAGAUAUCAGGAGGAACACCGGUGGCGAAGGCGGGUCUCUGGGCCGAUACUGACGCUGAGGAGCGAAAGCGUGGGGAGCAAACAGG